CUGUCACCCUCCACUGCGACUGGGAGGAGCAGCUCUGGCUGGGAGCCUGAACCUACAAGAGAAGGCGACCCCGGACUGACAAGUGGCUGCCCCACCCCACUUCACAGAUGCCCAUGUCCCUGGCACUUGAGGUGGGGUUGGAGCCUGAGUCAGCUUGGCAGGAGCCUGCCCAGUCCCAGGACAGGCCAGCUCGUCCAGAGGUGAGGCCUGGGUCAGUACCAUCACCUGCCUCCUGAUGCCAGCCACCCCUCAGGACCCAGACCGGACCACCAGACUUCCCAGGGGCAAGGACCGAGGCCCAAGGGGGAAUCCAGGCCCCAGAGCUUUAACUGGAGGUUACCUGAACCCUCUGAAGAUGUGGUCUGCUUAUUAUCACCCUGUCCAUCCACAUUCCUACCCACUGGGCCUGAUGGAAGAAGCGGGAAACCAAGGCACAGGACGGUACACAACUCCCCAAGGGUCACACAGCCACUCGGGAUCCAACCUCGAGGAAACGACUGCAGCACUGGGAAUCCAACUCGGGACCUCGAGCUUGCCAGGCAGGUGCUGCGCUGCUGUCUCCCCGGCCCAACCCCGUUUUCUGUGUGUGUUCACAGAGAUGUUUCUACAUCCGCAGGAAAUAAAUGACUCCACUGAG